CCUACGGGGUGCAGCAGUGAGGAAUAUUGGUCAAUGGACGAGAGUCUGAACCAGCCAAGUAGCGUGAAGGAUGACUGCCCUAUGGGUUGUAAACUUCUUUUAUAUGGGAAUAAAACGUUCCACGUGUGGGAUUUUGUAUGUACCAUAUGAAUAAGGAUAGGCUAACUCCGUGCCAGCAGCCGCGGUAAUACGGAGGAUCCGAGCGUUAUCCGGAUUUAUUGGGUUUAAAGGGAGCGUAGGUGGAUUGUUAAGUCAGUUGUGAAAGUUUGCGGCUCAACCGUAAAAUUGCAGUUGAAACUGGCAGUCUUGAGUACAGUAGAGGUGGGCGGAAUUCGUGGUGUAGCGGUGAAAUGCUUAGAUAUCACGAAGAACUCCGAUUGCGAAGGCAGUUCACUGGACUGCAACUGACACUGAGGCUCGAAAGUGUGGGUAUCAAACAGGAUUAGAUACCCCUGUAGUC
rnacentral:rRNA from 1 species